UUAGAGUUUGGAUAUCAUGGCUCAGGACGAACGCUGGCGGCGUGCUUAACACAUGCAAGUCGAACGGUGAACCCCAGCUUGCUGGGGGGAUCAGUGGCGAACGGGUGAGUAACACGUGAGUAACCUGCCCUUCACUCUGGGAUAAGCCUUGGAAACGGGGUCUAAUACCGGAUACGAGACGCACGGGCAUCUGUAGCGUCUGGAAAGAUUUAUCGGUGAAGGAUGGACUCGCGGCCUAUCAGCUUGUUGGUGGGGUAAUGGCCUACCAAGGCGACGACGGGUAGCCGGCCUGAGAGGGCGACCGGCCACACUGGGACUGAGACACGGCCCAGACUCCUACGGGAGGCAGCAGUGGGGAAUAUUGCACAAUGGGCGCAAGCCUGAUGCAGCGACGCCGCGUGCGGGAUGACGGCCUUCGGGUUGUAAACCGCUUUCAGCAGGGAAGAAGCGAGAGUGACGGUACCUGCAGAAGAAGCGCCGGCUAACUACGUGCCAGCAGCCGCGGUAAUACGUAGGGCGCAAGCGUUGUCCGGAAUUAUUGGGCGUAAAGAGCUCGUAGGCGGUUUGUCGCGUCUGCUGUGAAAACCUCAGGCUCAACCUGGGGCUUGCAGUGGGUACGGGCAGACUAGAGUGCGGUAGGGGUGACUGGAAUUCCUGGUGUAGCGGUGGAAUGCGCAGAUAUCAGGAGGAACACCGAUGGCGAAGGCAGGUCACUGGGCCGCAACUGACGCUGAGGAGCGAAAGCAUGGGGAGCGAACAGGAUUAGAUACCCUGGUAGUCCAUGCCGUAAACGUUGGGCACUAGGUGUGGGGUCCAUUCCACGGAUUCCGUGCCGCAGCAAACGCAUUAAGUGCCCCGCCUGGAUCGCNCGUA
rnacentral:rRNA from 1 species